GAUGAACGCUGGCGGUGUGCCUAACACAUGCAAGUGGUGCGACCAACCAGAGCUUGCGCUGGUCUGAAGUCGCGAACGGGCGAGUAACUCACGGGUAAUCUACCCCCCUGACAGGGAGAACUCAAGUAAACACGGGCGAAUACCUGACGUGGAAUGGAUUCAUCAGCCUCUUCACUAAGUGUAGGUCCGUCUUCCGCACUCGUAGGGGUCCGCGGCCCAUUAGCUUGUUGGUUGGGUCAAGGCCUACCAAGGCAACGAUGGAUAGCUGGCCUGAGAGGACGAUCGGCCACACUGGAACUGAGACACGGUCCAGACUCCUACGGGAGGCAGCAGUGGGGAAUCUUGCGCAAUGCGCGAAAGCGUGACGGAGCAACACCGCGUGAGUGAAGAAGGCCUUAGGGUUGUAAAACUCUGUCAGUAGGGAAGAAGGUACGCCGAUGAAAAGGCGAGAGGAUUGACGGUACCGAAAGAAAAAGCCCCGGCUAACUACGUG
rnacentral:rRNA from 1 species